rnacentral:sRNA from 1 species
GUUAAUAAAAACAAGAAUGGUUAUUGGGAGAUAAGGGCAGGCCAACUCCAGAUUUAUAAAGUUCAGACUUUUUACACUGGCUGGAUUCCCAGUCUCUGCUUUUAGUCUCCUCAGGAGAAAACAAAUUCUUGUUGCGAUGAAGAGCCUCACACAUUUCUCCAAGGAGCACCUCAGCGCUGGAUUCAGGGCUCCCAGUUACCUUACAAAAAAAGUUUUGAGGGGUUUUAUUUGUUUUAUUUAUUUUUUUCUUCUUAAUGAACACAUUAUGGUGAUGAACAAUAAGCUUUGUCCUCCCCUGUUGCUCCAAGAGCUCCUUUCCCACAGCCUGCCUCCGGAGCAGUGUCUGAGCUCUUCCCUGGUUGUUUCACAUGAGAGUGGCCUUGCUGAAAAUGAAGGUGCUGAGUGGUUUCUCUUGUGUUUAUCCACUGUCUUCAGUAAUGAUGGAGAACACCUCACAUAAGGCAGACUCUUCACACCAUGUCAAAGUGCAAGGAAAAAAUCUCCCUCAAGUAGACACACAGGCCACUGUCUGUCUCGUGCCUGGUUCUGAUGGCUGCACAGAGCCAUCGACACUGCUCAGCACAUCCGUGACCCCCUCUGCCCUGUGGCCUGCCUUCAGCCUUUCAGGCCGUCAUGGAGCAUCUUCGAGAAAGCCCUCCAAUAGCCAAAGCAAGAGUUUCAUGCUGGGUUCUUUGUUGUUAAUCUGCUUUAAAUAUAUUGAAUCAAUAGUUACUUGAGAAUUGCUCAAAGUUUCCAGAAGUACAGAACGUGUUUUCUUCUUUUGAUAUUUCACAUACCUCGGGUAAGCAUGGCAUCUAAAGCUCUGGUCAUCAUGUGCUCUUCUCCUGGUGGUGUUGACCACACGGUGUUAACAGGGAAUGGUUAUUCUGUACGGGCAUCUGAACUGAAAAGUGAGAAGAGCAAACUUUGCCUCCUCGGCCCCUUCUCUGUGCCUGUGGCUUAUGCGUGUGCCCCUCUCCUCUUUGUCACUGCUUCCCUUGCCCUGGAUGUGGUUGGUGCACUGGGGUCACCUUAGACCACAGGAAAUGUCUGGUUAACACACGAAGAGAUGGAAACGCUCGCAGCCACGCCGCAAACGGUUAGUCACGCCCCACAGCCUGCACUCCUCCCGGCGUGUUUUCCACUUAAGACCAUCUGGGUUCUUUGUCUUUUUGUUGAAAACAAAAUGUUUUCCAUUCAGUCGUUCCAGAUAAGUAUUUCCUUUAGUUAUUAGUUGAAAUGUGUAAGUAGAAUUUGUAUUUUAUUUUAGAUUUUUUCCAGGAACCUCAAGUUGGUAGACUCUGUCUUUAGAAUAGCUUUAAUCUAGCUCUCCUUUUGGAGAGAUCUCAGUUGAGCCUCUGUGUGACUGUGUGGCCCUUUGUCCUUCCAUGAAUGCGCUUGGCAUGGAGAGAGCCUGCUCCUUGCAUGAGAAGUUGAAAUUGUUGGUUUUGCAUGAGUUUUGCAUGAUGCUUUGAUAGUCUGAACUUUUUCACUCAGUGAAGCUGCAUCUUCCCUGCAGAGUUGCGUUGCCUGCAUUACCGAGCUCACCAAUACUAAUAGUUAUGUUCUUUUGCAUUCCUAACCACGUAACCCCAGGAAGAUGAGGAGGGAAGCUGGGCUCAGACACUCGCCUAUGGGGACAUGAACCACGAGUGGAUCGGCAACGAGUGGCUCCCCAGCCUGGGCCUACCCCAGUACCGCAGCUACUUCAUGGAGUGCCUUGUAGACGCUAGGAUGCUGGACCACUUGACCAAGAAAGACCUUCGAGGGCAGCUGAAAAUGGUUGACAGUUUUCACAGAAACAGUUUCCAGUGUGGAAUUAUGUGCCUGAGAAGGUUAAAUUAUGACCGGAAAGAACUGGAAAGAAAAAGAGAAGAAAGUCAGAGUGAAAUAAAAGACGUGCUUGUUUGGAGCAAUGAUCGAGUGAUUCGCUGGAUCCUGUCAAUUGGCCUUAAAGAAUAUGCAAACAAUCUUAUAGAGAGUGGCGUUCAUGGAGCACUUCUGGCCUUAGACGAAACCUUCGACUUCAGUGCACUGGCACUGCUGUUACAGAUCCCAACGCAGAACACACAGGCUCGUGCUGUUUUGGAAAGAGAAUUUAACAACCUUUUGGUCAUGGGGACUGAUAGAAGGUUUGAUGAAGAUGAUGAUAAAAGCUUUAGGAGAGCACCUUCAUGGAGAAAAAAGUUUAGACCAAAGGACAUUCGUGGCUUAGCUGCUGGGUCAGCAGAGACUCUCCCUGCAAACUUCCGGGUGACUUCUUCUAUGUCUUCUCCUUCUAUGCAGCCAAAGAAGAUGCAGAUGGACGGCAAUGUAUCAGGAACACAGAGGUUGGAUUCUGCUACAGUCAGGACUUACUCCUGCUAAAGUCUCCUGUUGUUUACCCACACUACUUCUACAGAUGAUUACGCAGCAUUUGAAUCCAACAAAGACUACAUUUUAGAAUCCAAUGGAAUCUUUAAUCUUGUUAAUACUUGUUAUAUGGACCCUAAGAUAUUUUAUUACAGAGUUUUUAAUUAGUGAAAAAUUCAUGAAUACCAUAGAGAAAAUAUUUUAGAAUUUAAUGUUUCUUAUAUUUAUGUAAACUUAUGACUCUUCAUUUAUAUAGUUACUUACUUUUUCAUGUAUAUCCAGGCUAUAAAUAUCCUUUCAAAUCAUGUUCUUAUACCUAAUUUUAGUCUUUCAAAUGAAUGUACUGUAAUGCUUGUAUGUAUAAAUCCUAUGAACAAAUAGAGGGCUUUUGUAAAUUAUGCAUUUAUUGUAAUUAUCAUUAAUUUUUUAAUGAUAAACCAUGACAAAGGAUUUUACUACGUUUAUAAAAUUAUGACAGAAGCAAUGUGCAUUAUCCUUUACAGACGCAGCCUAGCUCUACAGCAAUCAUUCUGAAAUAAGCAUACCUAGUUUCAAGCAAUUGUUGUAUUUUAAUGACUGACCUUAACUAUACUUUUUCUAGCAAGAAAUUCUUUAUUCUGCAGCAUGAACAGAUUUAAAACAGCUGGUGUUAAAUAUCAGCUCCUAAUAAAAUGUGGACUGAAAAGACUAUCACAACACUAUGAGAAGCCCCUAGCACUGGUUAACGCUUUCCUAGCUUAGUCUCUGGAUUUGGGGAGCUUGUCUUCAGUGGUUGACUGAGACCGUGAGCUGGGAGCAGUUCUCUCAGCUGGAGAGACUCGGGAUGGGGUAACCUGGGGACCAGCCUAGCCCCUGCACCCUCUUCCCUGCCUCUGCUCCUUGGGAGCGGGUGGAAAGACACCCAUGUGGCUCCCCAUAGGGCCAGCCACUGAGCGCACCACGCUCUCAUCCUGCAGUCGGCGCACACGGCGGAUGAAGGCAGGAGACCCAGAAAGCAGUGCAGUGCAGCUCUAAUAAAGGCCUUAUUUUUCUUAUUUUUCAUCUUUUUACAUUUGUUUGUAAACAUGUUUAAAGAACGAACCUAGUGGGACAUUUUUAGACUUUGAUGCUCUAGCCAUUUUGGACUGUGUAAGUUGCAAAUGUGGCUUCUACUUUUUAAAUGGCAUAUUAAAAAGCCAGCAAAGUGUGUCAGACCAUGGCGUGGUAUUUAUUGUGCAGCAGAUACAGAGGUAGAGGCAGCCUGUCUUUUCACAGUUGGUUUCUGCUUUUAAUUUACUUGUACAAUUCAUUGUUACUGUUCUGUUUUUCUAUUAAUCUUUUGUGAACUUCCUGAUUAUGUAACAAAGUAUGUACAGUCUACUUUUGAACUAUUUUUAUCACAGUAUUAUUUAUUGCUUUCUUUCAAUAAAGUACUGAAGCAUUUUCCACUGCC